GGAUUAGUGGUGAAAUUGGUAAACACAUAUGUUUUAGAAACAUAAAAGGUAAAACUUUUAUUGGUUCAAGUCCAAUCUAAUCUA
rnacentral:tRNA from 1 species